GAAACGGCGUCCCAGUUCGGAUUGCAGCCUGCAACUCGGCUGCAUGAAGCUGGAAUCGCUAGUAAUCGCGGAUCAGAAUGCCGCGGUGAAUACGUUCCCGGGUCUUGUACACACCGCCCGUCACACCAUGGGAGUCGGGAAUGCCCGAAGUCAGCGACCCAACCGCAAGGGGGGAGCUGCCGAAGGUGGAGCCAUUAACUGGGGUGAAGUCGUAACAAGGUAUC
rnacentral:rRNA from 1 species